rnacentral:rRNA from 1 species
CAUGGCUCAGGAUGAACGCUGGCGGCGUGCUUAACACAUGCAAGUCGAACGGUGAAGGCGGAGCUUGCUCUGCUGGAUCAGUGGCGAACGGGUGAGUAACACGUGAGCAAUCUGCCCCUGACUCUGAGAUAAGCGCUGGAAACGGCGUCUAAUACUGGAUACGAGCUGCGAAGGCAUCUUCAGCAGCUGGAAAGAACUUCGGUCAGGGAUGAGCUCGCGGCCUAUCAGCUUGUUGGUGAGGUAACGGCUCACCAAGGCGUCGACGGGUAGCCGGCCUGAGAGGGUGACCGGCCACACUGGGACUGAGACACGGCCCAGACUCCUACGGGAGGCAGCAGUGGGGAAUAUUGCACAAUGGGCGAAAGCCUGAUGCAGCAACGCCGCGUGAGGGACGACGGCCUUCGGGUUGUAAACCUCUUUUAGCAGGGAAGAAGCGAAAGUGACGGUACCUGCAGAAAAAGCGCCGGCUAACUACGUGCCAGCAGCCGCGGUAAUACGUAGGGCGCAAGCGUUAUCCGGAAUUAUUGGGCGUAAAGAGCUCGUAGGCGGUUUGUCGCGUCUGCUGUGAAACCCCGAGGCUCAACCUCGGGCCUGCAGUGGGUACGGGCAGACUAGAGUGCGGUAGAGGAGAUUGGAAUUCCUGGUGUAGCGGUGGAAUGCGCAGAUAUCAGGAGGAACACCGAUGGCGAAGGCAGAUCUCUGGGCCGUAACUGACGCUGAGGAGCGAAAGGGUGGGGAGCAAACAGGCUUAGAUACCCUGGUAGUCCACCCCGUAAACGUUGGGAACUAGUUGUGGGGUCCAUUCCACGGAUUCCGUGACGCAGC